rnacentral:rRNA from 1 species
UACGUAGGGGGCAAGCGUUGUCCGGAAUCAUUGGGCGUAAAGAGCGUGUAGGCGGCCCGAUAAGUCCGCUGUGAAAGUCCAGGGCUCAACCCUGGGAUGCCGGUGGAUACUGUCGGGCUCGAGUCCGGAAGAGGAGUGUGGAAUUCCUGGUGUAGCGGUGAAAUGCGCAGAUAUCAGGAGGAACACCAAUGGCGAAGGCGGGUCUCUGGGCCGAUACUGACGCUGAGGAGCGAAAGCGUGGGGAGCGAACAGG